GGCCCCUGCCCCAGGGUAAUGCCCCGGGUAAGCGGCUAGUUAGAGCCCUCGGGCACGCCCCCUCCCGCAGCACGCUUCCGGAAAGCGCUCCGCCUACCUCGUGGCCACGCCCCAGCCUCGUGUGCUCCCCGGCAGGUCCCGCCCACCACGCACGCAGGUGCCAGGGUAGUGGGCGUUCUAAGCGAGCGACCGUUGAUCCAGGGGCAGGCGCGCGGUAACCCGGACCCCGUGCCAGAAAGACGACCCGACCCGGGGGGUUGCCGCGGGCCGCAGCGCGGAGUCUAUAAAGGCGCACGGCUGCGUCGACAGCGCUCGGGACAUGGAACCUCCGCCCGGGAGCCCCCUAGAAGACACCGCUUCCCAAAGCCUGGGAGACGAUGAGUUCCGAGAACGGCAGGACGCGAAGCCUACCGUGAUCUCAGUAACUGGAGGAGACAUCGGGAAGGAUCUACUGUCCGAACCUGAGCGGGGAGCAGCAGCAGAAGGGGAAGAAAGCCACGGCGGCGCGGGAGCUCCCGGCCCCGUAGACGAGAUCCAGAAGGGCGGCGGCGGCGGAGAGGAGCCCCCGCAGCAGCAGCAGGAGGCCCACGCGGCCACCGAGGAUCCGCAGCCCCAGGACAGGCAGCCACGCCUCCACCACCUGUUCAUGCGGUUGGAACUGAAGGAGCUGGAGAGAGUUUUCCAACGCACCCAGUACCCCGACGUGUUCGCGCGGUGAGAGAUUACCAUCUGUAUGGAUGUGACUCAAACCGAGGCACAGCAAUGGAACACAGGUGAGGGAGGUGCAGAGAGAGGGAGACAGAGGAUCCGAAGCAGGCUCUUCACUGACAGCAGAGAACCCGACGCGGGGCUUGAACUCACAAACCAUGAGAUCUGAACUGAACUGACGUCGGAUGCUUAACCGAUUGAACCACCCAGGCGCCCCAAGAACAAUUUUUAAUACAGUUUCACUGAGCUAAGAAGGGUGAAAAGCUUAGAGAAGAAUUGCAUACAAACAUAUACCUUGAAGAUACGGCACAGAUUGAGCUCUAUGAGUGAAUAUUCUCGAGGACUUUCUAACAUCUAAGGAUUUUUUUUUUUUUUUUUUUUUGGUGGUACUAUUUUGAAGAGAUGGGUUUUAUGGAAUUUGGUGCUGGGUAGGGGGAGGGUUUCAAUUUAUGCCAGAUUCUUACCUGUGUUAAUUUGAAAUAUUCUUUCAUUUGUUCAAGCAGUGAUGUCUAAUUCAUGCGUCAAAAGAUAACCAUUUGAGACGGUAGCAGGUCAUGUUGUAUUAAGAGAUUAUUUGUGAAAAACAAAAUCCGGGAUGAGUUUGUUAUUUUUGUUCCAUGGUAUGUAUGUGAGUGCAGUCAUGCAGAUGGGGUGUAGAUCUGGUGGUAUGGAGUUUUAGUGAAUUUGGACCCAGUUUGUCUAAAUUUUCCUUAAUUCUAUAGACGAAAAUAUCAUGGCAGUAUUCAGGGUGUCAGCAGCUCUUACAUCCCAGUAAGAAGCCACAGUCCCCCUGGGCCCUCCAAACCAGGCCUUCCUCGUCAGAUCAUCCUUUUAACUCUCAAGAGGUUUCAGAGGAUGAAUAACCCAUUAGGUAUCUUUGAGGGAAACCUGUUUAAAAGUCCAACCUGCUGGGGCCCCUGUUGAGAGAGAGGAACAUUCAGGAAUGCACCUGUGCAUGCCCACUGCCACCCUCACCAGAUGAUUUUGAAAACAAUAUUUUUAUUUUUAUUAUUUUGAGAGAGAGAGCAUGUGCGCGUAAGCAAGGGAAGGGCAGAGAGAGAGGGAGACAGGGAUAGGGAGGGAGGGAGAGAGAAUCCCAAGCAGGCUCCGAGCCCGGUGCAGAGCCAGACACGGGGCUCGAUCUCACAUCCAUGAGAUCACGACCUGAGCCCAAACUGAGAGUCGGGUGCUUAACCGACUGAGCCACCCAGGUGCCCCAAAACAAAAUUUUUAGUCGAACACGUGGCUUUGCCAUGCUGAGACUGAAAGCCAGACGGCACUCAGCCCAAAUCCUGCAGUUAACAUUCAUAUCUAGUCUGACACACUAACAACAUUUCUUUUUUCAUGCUCAGACUGCUUGCGAGAAUAACAAGUCCCUUUUCUGUUCUCUGUAGAUGUUAGUUUGGGCUGAAAAGUUAUAAACACAGUCUCGGGGAGGGGAGUAUACAGUAGUUUCAGCAUUUUACAGUAAUUAAACAUUCUGGAUCUUUCUAAAGUUUCUAAAUCUUUUUCACAUCAAACAAUGUAAAUUUUCCUAGGUAAGUGUGAAAAGUAAGUUUUUAAACAAAGAGUCACUGCGAUUACAUACAAAGUAGGGGAAAUGGAGUUUGUUCUGAGUCGUUUUAGUCUUUUUAAGUUUAUGUAUUUAAUUAGAGCACGAGCAGGGCAGGGGGCAGAGAGAGAGGGAGAGAUCUGUCAGCACAGAGCCCAACGUAGGGCUUGAACUCAACGAACUGUGGGAUCAUGACCUGGGCUGAAAUCAAGAGUCAGACGCUUAGCCAACUGAGCCACCCAGGCACCCCGUUCUGAGUUGUUUUAAAAAGGACAGGAAAAAAUGUUUUGGGGUGCCUGGGUGGCUCAGUUGGUUAAGUGUCUGACUCGAUCUCAGAUCAGGUCUUGAUCUCAGGGUCGUGAGUUUAAGCCCCGCAUGGGGCCUGCUUUAAAUAAAUAAAUAAGUAAAUAAUAAAAAGAACAGAAAUACGUUUGCCAGAAUUGAGGUGAUGGGGUGUCGUGCUUAUCAUCGGGCGUCCUCGGAGCACACACGUGGAUGUGCUGACCUGCCAGGCAGUCGUUUGGUGCUGAUACGAUACCUCUGGGAAACGUUGGCGUCCUGGAGGUGAAAUAAGAGAGCUAAAAUAGAAUCCUCCACUGCAUUUCCUGCUAGGGAAGCUAAACUUGGCCUCAUUUGACCUGCUGUAGCCCACAUGUGGCCUGGGCUUCUCAACUCCUGGAGCGGACACCUCGGGAGUCAGUUGCUAUGGUAACAUAGCCCUCAUCCUAGGAAUGCUGCGUGCCAUUACCUUCAUCGGGGUUCAGUGAGACUUCUGCUCACCCCCAUUAAGCCCAGGCGGUAAGGUGUCCCAGCGAGAGCCGGUCCUUGCCUCGGCCAGAUCAUCGUAGGAACCAUAUUCUCAUUUUCCUUUGUGGAACUCUCACAUGAGGUUUUUUUAAUUCGGCAAGUGAGACAAACGCUCAUUGGCCCUGCGGUAAAAGACGGGCAUCCACGGAAGAACCAGUCCCAUUGUGCCACGUGGCUCUUCCAAGCCAAGUACCUUUCUCUUCUGUACCCGGCUUAGGGGAAGAAACCUCAGUAGUCUCUGCACCGCAAGGGGCUUUCAAGGUCAUCCAGUCCACUCCCUUCAUUUCACAGAUUUGGGACAUAGGCCCAGAACAGUGGAGCAGGCAGCUCAAGAAAGCGCGCAGAGUUCCUCAGCCCCUGGGUGGCCGUGCCCUCCCCCGAGACCUAGAUCAUCCAGCUCUGGGCAGCACACGCCAGCUCAGGCUCAGUGCCUCAGCGCUUGCCACCUGCAUCCUGCCUAGAACUCUUUUCUCCAAAGGGCUGGAGACUCAAAGUUCCCAACUCCUCGCCGAGUCAUUUUACUUCUAGGAAAAUAGGAAAAGUUACCAACCUCCCCUACAGACAUUCAACCUCCUGGUGCUUACAAUUUCAGGCCUUGAGAGAGUUAUGCGAUUUGUACCCUUUCCACAAAAGGCCGGGUGUGCUUCCAUCAUAACCGCCCUCAUUUCUCCCAGUCUCCUUUCAAAACCAAGUUUGCCAACCUGUGGCGCAACCUGUGAGCAAAUGCCAGCUCUGAACGUAUGGCGAAUUAACUUUAAAAAAUGUUUAUUUGUUUAUUUUUGAGGGAGGGAGGGGAAGGGCAGAGAGGGAAAGAGAGAAUCCCAAGCGGGCUCUACACUGUCAGCACAGAGCCCGAUGCGGGGCUGGAACUCGUGAACCGUGAGAUCAUGACCUGGGCUGAGGUUGGACGCGUAAUCAACUGAGCCAUCCAGGCACCCCUAGAAAUACAAUUUUCAAAUGCGUUGAGCUGUAGUCCACCUCCAUCCCUUCCACACACAAAGGGUAGGUCUCACGGUGAAUGUCUUAAUUCCCAACAUUUACAGGCCAAUAUUUUGGAUUCUAAAAAUACAAAAGGUGCCGCCUGCACGCACUCUUGCUUUUAAAAUCAAAGGACACGGGGCGCCAGGCUGGCUCAGUCAGUAGAGCCUGUGACUCUUGAUCUCAGGGUCGUAAGUUCAAGCCCCACGUUGGGCAUGGAGCCUACUUUAAGAAAAAAUAAAAAAUAUAAAAUCAAGGGACACAAGAGAUUUAAGGGGUGGCGUUCAGGCCUGGGUACAUAACUGAGAUGCCUCAACCCAUCCUAAGCACAGUACCAGACAAAAUUAGAGCCGCUAUGAGAAUUGCAGAUUCGGAGCUCAACAUUCUCAUAUUCCAGGCCCAAGAAGCUUGGCUUAGAGGGGAAAAAUGGAGGCAAGAUAAAGACCAAGGAAAAGCCUCUGUCCACUUCUCCCUUGAAGAAGAGAGACAAAGGACGAAACAAAUGAUGUUUUUAAACAGGAAGCGGAAAAAGAGACUGUGGAGACCUAGGGGAGGAAGAAAUCCACGUCAACAGCUGGACCCAGAGCUAUUGAUGAGGUUUAGGGAGCGGGAGAGUGAGGGAGGCUGGCAGCUCAUCACUUCCUCUGGGAGGUAGCCAGUGGGGCACGAGGACAUGGUUCUGGCCAGCUGGGCAUAGAAGGGAAAGGAAAAAACAGAACUCAGGCUCAUAUGCAGAUGAGUUCCUUACAUCUCCUUCCAUAGCCCCCAUCACAAGGUCAAGCAACAGAGCUGUCUUUUCUCUUUUUCUCACUUGCCUACCCUCCUUUUAACUCAACCCUGGCCCAGGUGCAUAACCACAACAGCCCAAGAAACAUCCAGAAGGGUCUUAUUUCUUCAUUUUAAGCAAAAGAAAUUCCAAUGAAUUCUGUAGGCCCACCCACCACAUCAAAACCUCAAUUCCAACAGAGAUUCAGGCAAAAAUAUUUCAAGGUGUUAAAUUGGUUCUUCUGCUAUUUAUUUUAUGUCUUUCAGGGUUUUUUUUAAAUAUAAUUUAUUGUCAAAUUAGCUAACAUACAGCGUGUACAGUGUGCUCUUGUUUUGGGGGUAGACUCCCAUGGCUCAUCGCUUCCAUACAACACCCAGUGCUCAUCCCAACAAGUGCCCUCCUCAAUGCCCAUCACCCAUUUUCCCCUCUCCCCCCCAUCCACCCUCAGUUUGUUCUCUGUAUUUAACAGUCUCUUAUGGUUUGCCUCCCUCCCUCUCUGUUUGUAACUAUUUUCCCCCUUCCCCUCCCCCAUGGUCUUCUGUGAAGUUUCUCAGGAUCCACAUGUGAGUGAAAACAUAGGAUAUCUGUCCUUCUCUGACUGACUUAUUUCACUUAGCAUAAUACCUUCCGGUUCCAUCCACGUUGCUGCAAAUGGCCAGAUUUCAUUCUUUCUCAUUGCCAAGUACUAUUCCAUCGUAUAUAUAAAUCACAUCUUCUUUAUCCAUUCAUCAGUUGCUGGACAUUUAGGCUCUUUCCAUAAUUUGGCUAUUGUUGAAAGUGCUGCUAUAAAUAUUGGGGUACAUGUGCCCCUAUGCAUCAGCACUCCUGUAUCCCUUGGGUAAAUCCUGGUAGUGCUAUUGCUGGGUCGUAGGGUAGCUCUAUUUUUAGAGACUUAGACUUCAGGGGUCUCCACGGCCAAACCUGUCCUUCCAUUAGAUGAAUGCAUUCUAUAGUUUCAAAACGCCACUUAACCUUUAGCUUAAAAGAGUGUUCAGUCCGUUUAUUCCAGAAACAAGAAAGCUGACCACCAUCCUGGUUGAGAUGGGGGUGUGAAAGAUGAGGAAAGAGAGCUCACCAUCAUGAGGUGACUGUCUAAGAAGAGCAACCAAAUUCAAAUUCAAGGCCAGAGAAUUGAGGUCCAUUAGCCUCAGCCUGCUCCUUGUCAAUGUUCCUUCCCCUGACAACCAGGAGAAGACCUUAACCCCUGGGCAAUAGACAAGUGAUAUUUUUGAAUAAUUCUUGCACGAGAUUGAGUCUUCUGCAUUUUUUGUUUCCCCCAAUAUGGCGAGGUGGUGGUUUACAUGUAACAGCAAUGAAUAAUGACAAUAAUAGCUACAGUUUUCUGCGGGCUUACUGUGUACCAAGUACUGUGCUAAGCAACCUGCAUGAAUUACCACUAAUCUCUUAUGCAGACGAGGAAACUAGCACAGAGGGAGGCCAAAUAACAUGCCUAAGACCACACAACUGACGGUGGCUCCAAUGAAAUUCACUGAAACAAAUAUACAAUUCAUGUUAAUAAAUUCUUUGAAUUUGAGAGAAAAAUGUAGUGCAUGUUUUCACAUUUCUCUUCUUUCUUUUUUUAUCUUAGAAACAGAGAAUGUGAGUGGGAAAGAGGGGCAGAGGAAGAGAGAGAGAGAGAGAGAGAGAGAGAGAAUCCCAAGUAGGCUCUAUGCUCAGCUCGGAGCCCGAUGCGGGGCUUGAUCCCAUGACCCUAGGAUCAGGACCUGAGUCAAAAUUGAGAGUCGGACACUCAACUGACUGAGCCACCCAGGCCACUGGGUCACCAGAACAUUUCACUAACCAAAAUAACCCCAUAUGUUAGACGUUCUGCUGAAUGACAGAUUCACAUUAAUAUACCUUUAUGCAAUAUUUCUCGAUUAAAAAGCAGAUUAAAGCAUUAGGUAUGAACUAAGUAUUUCUCAAUUCUUCUUGUUCUUGCACCAGUUAAAUGGAUUCUCUUUUCUAUGGUUUAAACUACCUUAUUUGUUAUUCAUUCGUUCAUCCAUUUAUUCUCUGUCUUAGGACUUAAGGCAACAUAUAAAGUUAAUGAUGUAUAUAAUACAAUAAGUAAAC